rnacentral:misc_RNA from 1 species
GAAAUGCGAUACGUAGUGUGAAUUGCAGAAAUACGUGAACCAUCGAAUCUUUGAACGCAAAUUGCGCUCGAGGCUUCGGCCAAGAGCAUGUCUGCCUCAGCGUCGGGUUAAUACUCAUCUCCUAGUCUCAUGGCUUGGAGCGUGGAUCUGGCUGUCCCACUGCUUGCACUCAUUCGAGUGCUUGGCGUGGGUCGGCUGAAGAUGAUAGGCUGAUGCAUGGACCCGCUAAGGGCCUCAACUGGGUAGGUGCUUAGGCGCUAAUUGCUUUAGUUGAUGGCUUGGAUCCGCGCUGGUCGGCCCUAAUCAGGAAUUGGGCUUCGGCUCAACUCAACCCAUUUUCUCGACCUGGGCUCAGGCAAGAUUACCCGCUGAACUUAAGC